GAUGAACGCUGGCGGCGUGCCUAAUACAUGCAAGUAGAACGCUGAAGGAAGGAGCUUGCUCUUUCCGGAUGAGUUGCGAACGGGUGAGUAACGCGUAGGUAACCUGCCUGGUAGCGGGGGAUAACUAUUGGAAACGAUAGCUAAUACCGCAUAACAGUAGAUGUUGCAUGACAACUAUUUGAAAGGGGCAAUUGCUCCACUACCAGAUGGACCUGCGUUGUAUUAGCUAGUUGGUGAGGUAACGGCUCACCAAGGCGACGAUACAUAGCCGACCUGAGAGGGUGAUCGGCCACACUGGGACUGAGACACGGCCCAGACUACUACGGGAGGCAGCAGUAGGGAAUCUUCGGCAAUGGACGGAAGUCUGACCGAGCAACGCCGCGUGAGUGAAGAAGGUUGUCGGAUCGUAAAGCUCUGUUGUAAGAGAAGAACGAGUGUGAGAGUGGAAAGUUCACACUGUGACGGUAUCUUACCAGAAAGGGACGGCUAACUACGUG
rnacentral:rRNA from 1 species